rnacentral:misc_RNA from 1 species
CUUGAGUAGCAAGUGCACAAUCUGCACAAACAAAACACUACCAUGUCUAUUAAUCCAUUUCAUUUUUUCAGGCAUAAAUGGUAUUCGGAUUUCGGCUAUUACAUAUACACAGGACACUAGCUUACCUUAUUUGUUUGACCACAGAUCAUGGAGUAUUUUGGCAUAGGUUCAAAACUUUCAGUAGCCACUUGUAUAUCUUUUUUUAAAGUCUCCGUUGCAACACCAGAAGAGCAAUGUUCAUAUACUAAACUUUGUAACAAUUAAGAUACGUUUUUUAGUGCUUUAGUAAGCACCUUCAGGACAACAGCACAGGUUUCCAAAACUAAAAUCUUCCAAAUUAAGGAACAAUCGAGAAGAGAGCUAACAGUAUAUAUUUAAAUCAGCAAACUCUGCAAGCUGACAUCAGGAUCGCAAUUUUCAAGUUCUCAUUCCACAACUUGAGGUUUAAAUAAUCAGAAUCUCAACCCCACAAACUUCCAAUUUUGACUUUAUAACCAUUUUCACUAUAUUAUAGUUUCCACUAAGUUCAAUUAAUUGCAGCAAGUUGUCAGAUAUGUCAGGCUCUUGUAUAGAAGUCAACAGGCAAUGCAAUUUCAACAACCGACAUGAAAAGCGUUUAUCCAUAUUAUAUUAGAAGAAACAACAAUUAUGCAAUAUGCAUAGCAUUGAAAGCCUUACAAAUAACAUACACGGUUGAGGAAUUUGUUCCUUAAUAUGCCAAAAUCUAACAGGCUAUUAAGAGGAUUUGACCAAAAUAACAAUUAGCCAAGUGAAUUGCUGAGCCUGACAGAGCAAAACUUCGCCAGUACAUAGAUCUCUCAAAUCAUGAGGUCAAAGUAAUUUUGUUGAACGAACACUGUUUCACUAUCAAUUCUUGGUAAAGCAAAACCCAAUCUUUCUACAGUGCAAUUAGCCUUGAAUACUACCUCUUCAGUUUCUUAUUAGUCACAUGUUCUUAGCAGCUAAGCAAAGUAUCAAGGCAAUCAAAUUAAAUAAUUGAGCAAUUUGAUAUAAACCCAAAAUUUCAGCACUGGCAUUCAACUCCUUGGGAAAGUAUAUUAAAUUAUCUACGGAACAAGAAUAAAGUCACCUUUUAUAUAUUAGGGGAGAGAAUCCAUUCACCUGAACUCUUCCUUUCCGAGUUGCUAUAUGCAAUGCUGUGUUGCCCUUGGUAUCAACUAUGUUCACCGAUGAAGGUUCUGCAUUUAUCAAUUCCUGUACCACCUCAACAUUUUGCCCCUUCACUGCCAUGUGAAGUGCUGUCUGCCCCUUUUUAUCUAUCCUUGUCACUAUCCCAGGCUCCAUCGCCACAAGUGCCCUAAUAACCUCCAAAUGUCCAUUUCUAGCUGCAGAAUGCAAGGCAGUUUUCCCAUUGCUUCUAGCAAUGGUUGCCAGGCUACUCCCUGCACUCAACAAAAAAUUCACUAUCUCUAUAUGCCCUUGUGUCGCAGCCGUAUGUAAAGCCGUAGUGUUUGAUGAAUCAACAGUCAUAGCCAAUUCUGGAUGGGCCUCCAUUAGAAUUGCCAACAUAUCUAAAUCCCCUUGCUUGGCAGCAAUGUGGAAUGCAUCAAACCCAUUUCUUGCUUUGAUACCAGCACCAGCAAGAUCAUAAUAUUUAAUCAUUUCCCUAACUAAAUCAACAUAACCAUAUUCAGCAGCUACAUAAAGGGCAGUCUCUCCUGACUGGUUUUGCUUCUCUAACAAUUCCGUCAAUUCUUCCCCCAAGGUAUCAGAAAAGAUUUCCAUUACAGCAGCCAGAUUUCCUGCUCUAGCUGCAGAAUGCAUUGGUGUAUCAUCUUUUUUCCCUGUCAAUUGCUUGGUCAUCUUUUUCCGAGGAGCUGGAUUAUGCAGAGGAGCUGUUGGCUCCAUUUUGGAUCCACUGAUCACCUCCUUUUUCUAACAAUAGUCAGUAACUCAGGCCUUCUUCUUCUUUCCAGUAAAAACCCAGAUCAAAAUUUGCAUCUUGUAUAAUCAAGAAUCAUUAUUGAUUUAAAGCGACCCAGAUAAUGAUAAAAUAUUGAAUUUCUUCUGCAAUUCAACAAUUGCAGAUUCUUCACGGCCUAUUCCUGCCUCCCAUGAUUGGCUCUGCACUUUCUCGCAUACUAAAUUACAAGCCUGGGUUGAAAGGACAGAGCUUGUUUUGCUCUCCUCCAUCAAAAACCAAAGAAUCCAUAUAGUUUAGAACCACUUUCUAGAGGGAAAACUCAAUCAGAAUCGAAACACUGUGUAGGCAACAACUUUAUUUGAAUCAAAGAAACCAAAUCCUCAGAUACACAGUAUUAUAGGAAUCAAUCUUAGCUAGACUUUUGCAAUGGUUAUUAUAAUUAUCAGAACGUUAAUAUGAUUUACUUUUUCUUGUUUUUGGAGAGAGAAAGAAAAAGGCAGAGAGAGAGAGAGAGA